GAUGGAAGAACGUAGCGAAAUGCGAUAAGUAGUGUGAAUUGCAGAAUUCAGUGAAUCAUCGAAUCUUUGAACGCACAUUGCGCCCCUUGGUAUUCCAUGGGGCAUGCCUGUUCGAGCGUCAUUUGUACCUUCAAGCUCUGCUUGGUGUUGGGUGUUUGUCUCGCCUCUGCGUGUAGACUCGCCUCAAAACAAUUGGCAGCCGGCGUAUUGAUUUCGGAGCGCAGUACAUCUCGCGCUUUGCACUCAUAACGACGACGUCCAAAAGUACAUUUUUACACUCUUGACCUCGGAUCAGGUAGGGAUACCCGCUGAACUUAAGCAUAUCAAUAAGCGGAGGA
rnacentral:misc_RNA from 1 species